rnacentral:tRNA from 4 species
GGAGGUGUCGCAUAGUGGUCAAUUGCACACGCUUGGAAAGCGUGAGCCGCGAGGCUCCGUGGGUUCGAAUCCCACCACCUCCGCAA